rnacentral:tRNA from 1 species
GUUCCCGUAGCUCAGUUGGAUAGAGCACAAUCCUUCUAAGAUUGGGGUCGCAGGUUCGAAUCCUGCCGGGAACGCCA